rnacentral:lncRNA from 1 species
AUGUUCUGUGCACAGAAAUCUGCGAUGACCAAGUAUUUGUACUGUCUUGUAAAUGCUCAUUGUGCUUGUUUUGUUCAUAUUCCUGAGGUCACUAACAGCGGCAGUGAAACGAGAAGAUAUGAUGCCCUUUAUAACGAGCACAGAGGUGAUCAACCACAGGAACGGAAUGGAGCCAACUCGACUGCCAAAGCAAGAGGUCUUGGGCCUGUGAGAGACAUGCAUGGAACUGCUGUGGGGGACCAUUUGGUAUUGUCAUGGCAACCACCAAUCUGGGAGGAAGGGCAUCCUGAUGGUUAUAAAAUUAGUUACUCCACAGUGCUAACCAGCCCUGCUCCUGCUGUUUCUACAUCAGUCACAGAAAUGGAACAAAGAGGGAUGUUAGAGCCUGAAUCUAAAGAAUAUGGGGAAGACCUUUCCAAGCCUCUUGAGCAAAGUGCUUCUGUGUCAACAUUUUUUUCCAUUACCAAACAAAAUGGAGUACUGACGACCGCUGAAACCAACGUGUCCAUUCAGGGUCUGUUGCUAGACCAGACAUACCUUAUUACUGUGGUGCCUUACACUGCAAAGGGAGAGGAAGGGAUCCCUUUACAGAGAAACGUCAAAACAGCCUCAGUUCCAAAAGGCAGUGUUACUGUGGCAGAACCAUCCCAGCCAGUUCUGAAAACACAGCGUGUUUCAUUGACAAGAUCUCCUCUGGAGAAGUCCCAGCCAUCAGCCAGCUCAGCUCCAGGAUCAAGGUUGACUUCAUCUGGGCCGAUAUUACACUUAAAAGUUCCGGACAUGGCUAAUAACACAAUAAUUACCUCUGCAUUCAUGGCCUCCCAGUCAGAAAGCCUUACGUCUGCUGCAGCCGGAUCUUCUGACAUCAUAAGACCAACUGACAUAGCUGAGUCUGAAGAGGUAGAGGCUGGUACAUCUUUGACAUCUCAGUCUGACAUGGAGCCCACUGGCCUGUACCUAACUUUGACAGCUGAAGGUACUACAAACCCUUCAGAGUCCUCUGGAACUCACCAAACCCAAGCUGCUAAUUCAUCCAAAUCAGCAAAUUCGGAACUGACCGAAUGGCCCAAGAAAAAUACUUCUCAGUCCCCUAUGAAGACCAGUGACGACACGGUCAGAGACAAGAAGCAAUCUUCUUGGCUCCCAGUGUUGGAGAAGCAUGAUAUCCCCAUUGUGGUUGGUGUGGGCAUCUCCCUAGCUUUAAUUUUUAUAACAAUGGGCUUUUACUCACUCAUCCAGAAGAACGAGCCAACAGAAGCAGGGCGAGGAUUGCUGCGCGGCUCUGGGACCUCCAGCAGGAACAGCAGCAAGCCAGAAACAGGGGCGACAUACGAGAACAGGGCUUUUGAAGAUGAUAAUUCAGUGGGCAUUAUAGAUCAAAGCUCUCAUUCAUCACCCCAAGCAAGCAGCCAGACGGCUCCCAGCACCGUCACAGUGACGGCCGAAUUGUCGCCGGAAGGACAACAGGAAGUCCUGGAAACCAUCCUGGAAAAUGUGACGGAGUCAGACCACAGCGCAUUACUGGGAUCUGCUCUGGAACAGGAAGCUGAACCGCCCCCUCAGAGCAAGAGAAGCCCCCCGACCCUCCACUCGGACAUCAAGCUUCAGAACAUAGACGGCUGGGGCAGCAGCCCCUCGCCCAGCAGGCAGGCCGGGGGCGGCGGUAGCGGCAGCAAAUUCGGACAAGGCCAGGAUGCCGAGCCGGCGCCGCGCCUGGCCGGCCGAGACGACGUCGUGCACACCUCCCUGACGCUGCAGACCACCGAGCCCGGCCCUGGAAGUACCACGCCCACCAGGCACGGGGUCGGACCCGGACCCGGCCCGGCUCCCGUUGUGCUGUCGCACUGCGUUUCGCUCAGCGACAGGGGCGGGCCGGGGAUAACCACGGUGGCCGUGGACGUACACUUCUAUCCGGCGAUGCCUUCCCCUGCCUCUGUCCCCGCACACGGCUCCCCCUCUGUCCACCCGCAGGCUCCUUUCCCAGAGUACGAACAGCAAAGCCCCACGGCGAACUACGUGCAAAGGACCUGCCUCUGAAGAUGCAGAAAGCGGGAGGAAAAUCUGUAGCCAAAAG